AAUAACUGCCUUUCUCCGCGAUUCUCAUUGCUUGCACUUAAGCAGCUUCGGAAAAUAUACAAUUUUAUGUGAAAUAUAAAAAAUAAAUACUAAAUUAACUAUAAAAAUGAAACCGAGUGAAUAGUAAAUCACCUGCCUUUCUCCGCGCUUCUCAUUUAUCGCACUCAAUCAGCUUCUCUCUCUUUCUCAGCAGUGUUACUCAUCAAAUUACUUGGCACUUAAUUGAUUCGUGUGCGGAAAAGACGACGAGGGAGCACUUGGAUGGCUUAUAAUUCCCCAGCUGGUAUCCGAAUGACUGACUGCAAUUGAUUCGACUACCGGCGUAUUGCCCCCACUUGAAUGCUAUCAUCGGGAGCUCAUUUACAUGUGAAUUUGCCGAAUGUCAUUUGGAUAUUUUGACAGUCGAAGGCAACCUAAGUGGGCAUACGAAAACAAGGAGCCAUAUGUUUGCACAGGCGGAGGAUUUUCCAUUCCCAUGUCUUGGUGACCCUCUUCAAGUGCCAGGUGCUCCGAAUUCUCCAGUGUUUGCCGACUCCUCCGCAGUCAGUGUCUCUGGUGUCUUAUUGAUUUUCUCCUAUAGCUUUCACUUGCCGCAAUUUGAAGUGCCACAUACACACCAACACAGAUACUCACGCACACAGACGCGGGCACGCAUAAAAGCGAAAAUGAGAUGAAAACGGAGCCACCAAGAAGGCAACGAGAGGAAUAAACCACAAAGAGAGACAUGAGGCGAAAAGAAUCGAAAACAAAAGUGGCUUUUAUUGGCACUCCCCAAAUAGUUAAUUAUAAAUUCCGUAUAACCGCUUCACGUGAAUUAAAAAUUAUAAAUAUUUAAAUCAGUAUGGACAUAAACUGAACAUAUAUCGUAUGUAGAAGAAGUAUUCAUUUAUCUCCCCAUCAAUUGCGCACUUGAUGUUAAAUGACUGACAGAUUUCCACCCACCCUUUCGAUUUUAUAUUUUCCCCGCGAAAACAAAGAAAAUGCUUGAAAUAAAUAUAUAUAUAUAUAUGUAUAUUCUCGUGUACGAUAACGAGCGAAAAAAGGAGAAAUAGGUAAGAAAAAUAUGAUAUGGAAAUGAGUUUGCAUUUUACUCACAGUCAUAAUAGUCGUAUCGAUCCGCUUCGCUGGGAUUAUUGCUGCCCAUGAUUUUGCCAAAAACUGUGGAGAAAUAAAAAACAAAAAUACGACAAGCGGAUGGGUGAAAAAACAAGAAAACAAUUUAAGAGCUGCCACCAAAGGGUUAACAACAACGUGGACAAUACUAACACAACGAGGAAAAUCGCAGCAAUUCAAUUAAAAUCGCUGACACAGACUCAAAGUGGGGAAAAGCGUGAAAAUCGAAGUAAAGCUGCCGGAGAUUGAGGCGAACGAAAAUAGACGUUAAAAGGGUUAAAUGGAAAUGCAGUUUGGGCUACGAAAAGCCACGCUUCUCUUGCCAGCUUGAAUGGGCAUUACGUGGCGAGGUCGAAAAGUCAAAAUAAGACUUUAAGAAAAACUUAAAGACUCUACUCACGUUUGAUGAAGGUCCUGCGGAUGCGCAGGAAGCAGGAUCGCGAGCGGGACAGGCGGACUAGCUCCUCCGGAUGCGAUCCGUUCUGGAUGCAGAUGAUCGGCGCCAAGGGCGCGAUGCGGCAG